rnacentral:rRNA from 1 species
CACGUAGGGUGCAAGCGUUGUCCGGAAUCAUUGGGCGUAAAGAGCUCGUAGGCGGCUUAGUAAGUCGGGUGUGAAAACCCCAGGCUCAACCUGGAGACGCCACCCGAUACUGCUGUGGCUAGAGUCCAGUAGGGGAGUGUGGAAUUCCCGGUGUAGCGGUGAAAUGCGCAGAUAUCGGGAGGAACACCAGCGGCGAAGGCGGCACUCUGGGCUGGUACUGACGCUGAGGAGCGAAAGCGUGGGGAGCGAACAGG